rnacentral:rRNA from 1 species
ACACAUGCAAGUCGAACGCUGAAGCCCAGCUUGCUGGGUGGAUGAGUGGCGAACGGGUGAGUAACACGUGAGUAACCUGCCCCCUUCUUUGGGAUAACGCCCGGAAACGGGUGCUAAUACUGGAUAUUCACUGGCCUUCGCAUGGGGGUUGGUGGAAAGGUUUUUUCUGGUGGGGGAUGGGCUCGCGGCCUAUCAGCUUGUUGGUGGGGUGAUGGCCUACCAAGGCUUUGACGGGUAGCCGGCCUGAGAGGGUGACCGGUCACAUUGGGACUGAGAUACGGCCCAGACUCCUACGGGAGGCAGCAGUGGGGAAUAUUGCACAAUGGGCGAAAGCCUGAUGCAGCGACGCCGCGUGAGGGAUGACGGCCUUCGGGUUGUAAACCUCUUUCGCUCAUGGUCAAGCCGCRACAUUGGUUGUGGUGAGGGUAGUGGGUAAAGAAGCGCCGGCUAACUACGUGCCAGCAGCCGCGGUAAUACGUAGGGCGCGAGCGUUGUCCGGAAUUAUUGGGCGUAAAGGGCUUGUAGGCGGUUGGUCGCGUCUGCCGUGAAAUCCUCUGGCUUAACUGGGGGCGUGCGGUGGGUACGGGCUGACUUGAGUGCGGUAGGGGAGACUGGAACUCCUGGUGUAGCGGUGGAAUGCGCAGAUAUCAGGAAGAACACCGGUGGCGAAGGCGGGUCUCUGGGCCGUUACUGACGCUGAGGAGCGAAAGCGUGGGGAGCGAACAGGAUUAGAUACCCUGGUAGUCCACGCUGUAAACGUUGGGCACUAGGUGUGGGGGCCACCCGUGGUUU